GAGGACUUAGGAUAUAUUUUAGACCAAGAGCCUUCAAAGCUCUCAGCAGAAGUGAGAACCUUCUAGCCCUCG
rnacentral:tRNA from 1 species